GGAGCUGGACUCCGGCAAACAAAUAUGUGUCUCGGACUACCCUCACUGUGCUGGGAACACCACUGGGAAACCUGCCAUGGGGACACUGCCCCACUGCCACCCAAGCAGCUCUACCACCUCUGUUUCAGGGACCAGCUUGGAUGGAGGAGUCUGACCUCCUACUGGGCCCUGGGGUCAUCAACUUGUGUUUUUUGCCACAGUUCUCUGGAAAACAGGGAUGGCCCCGGGGGACAUCAACAGCCACUGUACCACAUGGAGGGCACCGACCUGGAGUUUGCAGCUCCUUCUGCUCUGCUUUUAGAGGACACAGAUGGAGAGACGCCUCACUGUCUCUGGGCUCUGGUUUCUCUCCCAGAAGAGCAAAAAGCUCCCUAAGUUCCUGGUACUGAAUUCAAGUCGUCUCAUUUGGUAAAAGAAGCCUGUACCACUGAGCCGUCUCUCUGGCCCAUUGAUAGAUGUUGUGAUGAAGUGCUUUUGGUCCCUGGCCACCAUCAUUCAUCCUUUAGUCCCUUAUGGAAAUGUGCAGAGCAAAAGCAGACGUGCUGGCCACCGUCAGAUGCAGUCCCUGUGCCGAGGAGGUCGGGAGCCUCCCCAAGGGUGAUGAAGUCAUGGGCCCUGGAAUGAAAAGAGAUGGAUUAUCAAAGCAAACUUGGGCAAGAACUAAUCAUUUAGGAGUCAGUCUACAUGGAGAAUACACAACGUGAUGGCUGUGGCUAUGGACAGGUCACAUGACCUUCCCUUCAGCACCUGAGUACAUGUCCAGACACACAGCUAUAGCCACUGUGGAGGGGGGGGGGAAGGCAGCUGCCACUGUGUGUCACUCCUUGACCCCAAAAACCACAGGAUAUAUCACCUCUGUCAUCACUCUCCCUUUGUUUUUUAAUGAUUAGUCAUUUGUGACGUAAUACGGGCCAUGGUUAACCAGUAAUAAUAAAUCUGGCCAUUUUGGUGAAGGCGUACAACACUGUGUGUGUGUAAAAGGUAAGCAUGAUAUAUAGCUGCAGAUGCUGAUGUAAUAGCUAUUAGAUUUAUAAUACAUCCAAGAAGCAUAAUUUUACUAUAAA
rnacentral:lncRNA from 1 species